GUGCCCGCUUGGGCAACACAUAUACUAAAAUUGGACCGCUAUAGAGAAGAUUAGCACGGCCCCUGCACAAGGAUGGCAUGCAAAUUUGUGAAGCGUUCCAAAAUAAA
rnacentral:snRNA from 1 species